CCAGCACCCCGAGUGGUUGGGACGAUUAUUGGGCCUAAAGCAUCCGUAGCCGGUCCUGCAAGUCCUCCGUUAAAUUCACCCGCUCAACGGUUGGGCCGCGGGGGAUACUACAGGGCUAGGAGGCGGGAGAGGCAAGCGGUACUCGAUGGGUAGGGGUAAAAUCCACUGAUCCAUUGAAGACCACCAGUGGCGAAGGCGGCUUGCCAGAACGCGCUCGACGGUGAGGGAUGAAAGCUGGGGGAGCAAACCGGAUUAGAUACCCGGGUAGUCCCAGCUGUAAACGAUGCAGACUCGGUGAUGGGCUGGCUUCGUGCCAACCCGGUGCCGCAGGGAAGCCGUUAAGUCUGCCGCCUGGGGAGUACGGUCGCAAGACUG
rnacentral:rRNA from 1 species